UACAGAGGUCUCGAGCGUUAGGCGGAAUCACUGGGCUUAAAGCGUGUGUAGGUGGAUCGUUAAGUACCUUGUGAAAUCCCACGGCUUAACCGUGGAACUGCUUGGUAUACUGGCGGUCUUGAGCCAGCUAGGUGCUACCGGAACAAAUGGUGGAGCGGUGAAAUGCGUAGAUAUCAUUUGGAACGCCAAUGGUGAAAACAGGUAGCUGGGGCUGUGCUGACACUGAGACACGAAAGCCAGGGGAGCAAACGGG
rnacentral:rRNA from 1 species